UACGGAGGGAGCUAGCGUUGUUCGGAAUUACUGGGCGUAAAGCGUGCGUAGACGGUUAUUUAAGUCGGGUGUGAAAGCCCCGGGCUCAACCUGGGAAUUGCAUUCGAGACUGAAUAGCUAGGGUACGGUAGAGGGAAGUGGAAUUUCCGGUGUAGCGGUGAAAUGCGCAGAUAUCAGGAGGAACACCGGUGGCGAAGGCGGGUCUCUGGGCCGAUACUGACGCUGAGGAGCGAAAGCGUGGGGAGCAAACAGG
rnacentral:rRNA from 1 species